rnacentral:rRNA from 1 species
AGUGAACGCUGGCGGUAGGCCUAACACAUGCAAGUCGAACGGCAGCACAGUAAGAGCUUGCUCUUACGGGUGGCGAGUGGCGGACGGGUGAGGAAUACAUCGGAAUCUACUUUUUCGUGGGGGAUAACGUAGGGAAACUUACGCUAAUACCGCAUACGACCUACGGGUGAAAGCAGGGGAUCUUCGGACCUUGCGCGAUUGAAUGAGCCGAUGUCGGAUUAGCUAGUUGGCGGGGUAAAGGCCCACCAAGGCGACGAUCCGUAGCUGGUCUGAGAGGAUGAUCAGCCACACUGGAACUGAGACACGGUCCAGACUCCUACGGGAGGCAGCAGUGGGGAACAUUGGACAAUGGGCGAAAGCCUGAUCCAGCCAUACCGCGUGGGUGAAGAAGGCCUUCGGGUUGUAAAGCCCUUUUGUUGGGAAAGAAAAGCAGCAGGUUAAUACCCCGCUGUUCUGACGGUACCCAAAGAAUAAGCACCGGCUAACUUCGU